rnacentral:Y_RNA from 1 species
AGCUGGUCUGAAGGUGGUGGGUUAUCAGAACUUAUUAACAUUAGUGCCACUAAAGUUGGUAUGCAACCAUCCACUGCUAAAUUUGAUGGGCUUUAA